CCUACGGGUGGCUGCAGUGGGGAAUAUUGGACAAUGGGCGAAAGCCUGAUCCAGCCAUGCCGCGUGUGUGAAGAAGGCCUUCGGGUUGUAAAGCACUUUCAGUGGGGAAGAAAGCCUUGGGGCUAAUACCCUCGAGGAAGGACAUCACCCACAGAAGAAGCACCGGCUAACUCCGUGCCAGCAGCCGCGGUAAUACGGAGGGUGCGAGCGUUAAUCGGAAUUACUGGGCGUAAAGCGCGCGUAGGCGGUCUGAUAAGCCGGUUGUGAAAGCCCCGGGCUCAACCUGGGAACGGCAUCCGGAACUGUCAGGCUAGAGUGCAGGAGAGGAAGGUAGAAUUCCCGGUGUAGCGGUGAAAUGCGUAGAGAUCGGGAGGAAUACCAGUGGCGAAGGCGGCCUUCUGGACUGACACUGACGCUGAGGUGCGAAAGCGUGGGUAGCAAACAGGAUUAGAUCCCGUGUAGUC
rnacentral:rRNA from 1 species